rnacentral:lncRNA from 1 species
GUGUGAUGAGCAGGCUAGCUGUGAGACAGCCAUUGUGCAUGUGUGUGAUGAGCAGGCUAGCUGUGAGACAGAGUCAUUGUGCAUGCGUGUGAUGAGCAGGCUAGCUGUGAGACAGUCAUUGUGCAUGCGUGUGAUGAGCAGGCUAGCUGUGAGACAGCCAUUGUGCAUGUGUGUGAUGAGCAGGCUAGCUGUGAGACAGCCAUUGUGCAUGCGUGUGAUGAGCAGGCUAGCUGUGAGACAGUCAUUGUGCAUGUGUGUGAUGAGCAGGCUAGCUGUGAGACAGAGCCAUUGUGCAUGCGUGUGAUGAGCAGGCUAGCUGUGAGACAGUCAUUGUGCAUGCGUGUGAUGAGCAGGCUAGCUGUGAGACAGUCAUUGUGCAUGCGUGUGAUGAGCAGGCUAGCUGUGAGACAGAGUCAUUGUGCAUGCGUGUGAUGAGCAGACUGGCUGUGAGACAGAGUCAUUGUGCAUGUGUGUGAUGAGCAGGCUAGCUGUGAGACAGAGUCAUUGUGCAUGCGUGUGAUGAGCAGGCUAGCUGUGAGACAGUCAUUGUGCAUGUGUGUGAUGAGCAGGCUAGCUGUGAGACAGUCAUUGUGCAUGCGUGUGUGCAUGUGUGUGUGUGUGUAAACGGCAAUGAGAGCCUUAGGUUAGUGCACUAAAG